AAACACCAGUCCCAGGAUGGAGAUAAGAAGGAGAAGGCAAGGGCAAAAGCGUAAUUUUCAUCGAAGGCACCUGGUUCGAUUCCCACUUCAAUCUUUCCAUUACAGACGGAUUCAAUGCUUGAACUGGCUAUGCGUCAGAAUCAGAGGCCUCCAAGAGGGCAGAUCAGUGGGACCAGCCGGUUACAGAAUACAUUGAGGCCGCUGAAGGAUAUCUCGGGUAUCAACAGCCAGGUUCGGUGUACCGAUUCACAGAUGCUGGGAAUGGUGACAAAAGAGAAGAAGUCGUUAGCAAGACCCAAUCAUUUGACAGAUGAAAGCUGAAGCUGAAAAAUGCUUAGCACAAAGUGACAAGUUCAAAGAUGAGAAGGCAGAAUUUGAUUUUUCCAUCUAUGCAAAGAAUCUGUGCGGAAAUGGAAAUUAUGUUCUACUGAAAAGACAUCUAGGCUGUUUGGAUGCAUGGAUUCCACAAAGUAAUUAUUACACAUUCAUGGUUAUGAUUUUCUGGCAUAAGAAACUACGGUGUUGUUGUCUAAUAAAUAUUAAGUUUCCACUUACUAUUCAAACCGGACCCCCAAGUAUGGAAUUCAUUUUUCAACAGUUUUGCAUGGGAAAAAUCUGUUUUUCUUUCCCCAUAUUUUUCCCUUGGAUUCAUCAUAUAUCCAAACACGCCCUAGGGAGAUUGACACCUCAAACUUCUCUCUCUCAAAGUCAAACGCAGAAGGCCUCUAAGGCUUGUCGGACCUAGGCACUAGUAAAGUAUGCACAUGGUUCUUCGAAGUCAAGUAAAUUGAGAUAUUAAUCCUUGGUGUAGCUAUUGCUACCUCUGUUUUAUUAUUUGAUGAAUUCCUUACAGACUUGCUAGCCCCACUCCCACCCCUUCCACAUGCAUGUCUAAUGGCAUGUAUACAGAAGAUACAAGCCGUGUAUCAGGUGGGGCCCAUCAUUUAGAUGGCCUCAUCCAAAAAUUGGGGCUGUCAGUGAAAAUGAUGGGCAGUUUAAAAGGAACUUGGAGUGUCCUUUUUAGCUGUCCACUUUUUCUGUUCGUAUG